GUGUAUUAGAGGUUCGAGAGAGAGAUACCAACUUCUUCCUAACAUGGGUGGGUCUCACUGAGGAUCACAGUUCCCAGCACAGCCCUUGCCUAUAUCAACUAUUCUGUAAGUAUGAGGGAAGAAAUGGAAGACAUUGAAGCUCUGUGUUUGGGUUGUAAAUGCCAGCAUUACACCAAGAGAAAGCUUUUCCACUCCCCCAUGUUGCAAAUGGUUGUCUCUCUAUUUGCUCAUGAGAUACUUGGAAUCCAGAGACUUUCAGACCUACCCUGUUUCCUAUCUCCUUGGAGAGAGUAAAUAUAUGACUAUAAUUUCCAGAAGAUUCUCAAGUAAACUGCUAAACAUUUAAAACAAUCUGAAUUCAUGAAACAGUCACCCAGAGAGCCAUACGUUGGUCAAUACUAGGCCAGAUGGACCAGGAGCCUCUUCUCAAAGAUUCAAAAUCCAAUCAUCUAUUAUUGACAGAGCACUUGAAUUUGGUGCCCAGCACCCCUAGCACGUGGCUCACAACAUCCUUAAACUCCAGCUCCAAGAGAAUGACACCUUCGUGCCUCUGAAAGCACUAAAUAAAUAUGGUAUACACUCACACAGAUACAU